rnacentral:lncRNA from 1 species
GCUUCUGAGAGGCGAAUGCCUGAGAAGGGAGGAGGCGUUUUUGCUGAGUUGCUCGCUUCGCGGAGCUAAUAACCUUUUCAGGCAGGUGUUGCCUUUGCUCACGCCCCAUGACCUGUCGAAAGGGUGUUGAUUGUGGCCGUCUGGAGGUGUCGUGACAUGCCAGGGAAGGGUUAGGAGGCUUCCAAGGACGCAUGGUGACAGGCGUGAUUUGAGGGGAAAGGCCUGGAAAAGGCCUCCUAAGGCCUGUGUCCAUUGCGUUAAUUGCUAUCCUAGGGAGACUUAAAAUUGGCCCAAGGCUUUUGAGCUGCCGUGAAUAAACAGUGCUCUGGGCUUUGUGUCUUAUAAAGUCAUUUGCAUUUCAGUGGGAAUGCAUGUCUUAGCCUAUUCCUUAAAUUUUCGUAUGUCCGCAUUCCCUACCUGAAAACGUGCAGGGCGAUACGUUUUAAGGCAGCAAGUUUUAGGCUGGGAAUGGGGACAUAGGAAAAUUGGGGGGGGGGGGUAGGUUGAGAGUAUUAGAAGCAAACUUAAUGUCUCAUUCUGUGGCAGCAUUUCUUAACCUUUUUGGGGUCUUUUGAGAUUUAGACGAAAACUAAGAGCCGUUUCCCUGGGAAGAGAAAUGUCAACACAGUAUUUUGCCUGUAAUCGGAGGAACCCAUCUACAGACUCCCAGGCCCUGAGCCCCACACUUCCAGAUAACAAGGGUAGUGGCAAAACUCUGAUCUGUCAGAAGACAUGAGAUCUAGUCCCAUCUCUGCCACUUCCUGGGUGGAUGACCUCAGCCAGGUAUAUUUAAACAUGGAGAGAACAAGUGACGCAUAACAACUCUAUGAGGUGCAACCUAUCCAGUCACUUUCCUUUUGAGAGCUGAAGUACCUGAAGCUUUGGAGAUGGUAAAGGAAUUAUUGAGGGUCAUACUGGCUAAGAAGAGUGCUAAAAGUGGAGACCUUUAUCACAAAGGUAUCUUGUUUAUUUGCUUAUCUAUCAAGCCCCAAUAUUUUCUUCCUGCAUGGCAGUAACAACUGUCACCUUACCCAUAUUUUAUCUUCUUCUAAAACUUGAGUAGAGAUUUCUCCCUUUUCUACAAGAACAAGUGGUAAAUGAUCAAGGAUUAAACCAAAAUACCUGUUUGCACACCCAUACAAUCAAAACUGAAAUGAAGAGCUGUGACCAGUAACACCAAGGGUCAAAAUGUCACCUAUUUCCAGAAAUUGCAGGGCUCCAUACAAACCCCAGACAUUUUGCAAAAUGCCUCUCUCAGAUACUGAAAAAAAAGUCUGGUAUAUACUUUCAAAAGGAAUUUUAUCUGUAUGUUAGAUAAAAUAUACAAUAUAUACUGCAUGCUCCUUAGCAUGAAAGUAAUUACAAUUUCAUGUUUAAUAUUAACUCUUUCUCUGCCUUGCUUGUUUGUUAUUGAGGAAAAGGCAGAAGAUUCAACUCCAUUAGUGAGACACCGAAAACAUCUGUCUCACAUGUGGCCCCUGGCUUCCUCCCCAAAGUAACACAAUAGCUCCCUGGGCAUAGAGAACGAACCUGUCACCCUGUUGAAGAGUUUUUGUUUUUCCAUAAAAUAACAUGGACUGGGCCACAUGCAUAGGUAACUACUUUGUGGUACUUUGCUAAACUGCUGUUAUUGAUGUUGUUUUUCAGUAAAUAUGGUUUUAUAAUUGAUAAGGAAACAAAUGCCAAGAGGUCAGAGCUAAAUUUAAAAUUCAGACACUUUUUUUAAGAGACAUGGUCUGGCUCUGUCACCCAGGCUGAGGUGCAGUGGUGCAAUCACAGCUCACUGCAGCCUCAAACUCCUGGGCUCAAGCAAUCCUUCUACCUCAGCCUCCCAAAUAGCCGAGACUACAGGCAAGCACCACCACAUCCGGCUAAAACAUUCAGAUACUUUAAAAUGGAUGGUGGGAAACUUUCUAAAUUGGAGCUAGAGAGCUUCUCCUGAAUGCCAGUUCUUUCCUAGUUGUUCCCUUUGUGGCAGGAAAGAUCUCAACAACUCAGUCAAACCUAAGAAGCUAUCGUGAUUUCCAAGUUUGUUAAAUUUUUUUUUUAUGAGACUGACUUGUUGGUCUUCAACCUUUCUGUGAAGUUGCAGGAAAUGUUGAGGCUCAAGUGACUUUCUUAAGGUCAUGUAAGUCAGUAAAAGAUGAACAAAUAACCCCAGAAGUACUCCCACUAGUCUACACUUCUAACCGCUAGACCACACAAGUUCACAUGUCUGAUUCAUUUUAAGAACUGAGUAGAUCUUACAAUUUUCAAAGACCCACUUGGAUAUACUCUUCAAAUAAUUUUUGAAAUCUGUCAUAACCAAAUAAAACGUACAAAUGAAAACCAACAGUUUUGCUGUUUCUAAUUCACCCUUCCUUUGUGAUAGUCAAGAGGAACCUUUCAAACUAUUAACGAUUUUAGAAAAAAGGUUAAGUACCUCUAACCAAGCAAAUCCUGGUAUAUGCAGCUAAGUCAACUGAUUUAGCACUUCUCUACUUAGCACACCAAUGUGCACUAGAAUUAAGACAGUGGUUCUCAAUUCUGCCUGCACAAAUUAGAAUCACUUGGGGAACUUAAAAAAUUCUUAUGCCCAUGCCCCACCCAAGACCAAUGAAUCAAAAUCUUUGAAUCAGCCAUUAGUAUUUUUUUAAAACCUCCCCAUGUAAUUCUAAUGUAUAGCCAGUAUUGAAAACAACUGAUGUGAAGCUGUGUUAAAGUUCUGAAUUGAAUAAAUUUGUGUAGUUCUGUUUAUUUGUUAUACUUGUUAACUACACUUUUGGAAGAAAUCGGAUAGUAAAGAAAAUGAGAUUUUUAUAUAAAUGUGUAACAAAGCAGAAGGGCCCAAUGAGAGGUCUUACUUAAGGGGGUUUAUACAAGGGAGGUAUUAUUUCUGACUGUGGGGUGUUAAGGAAGGCUUCUAAGGAGUUGGUAACAUUUGAACUGGAUCUUGAAGGCUAGAAUAGGCAGAUAUGAAAAGAAAAUAAGUUUCAAGCAUAGGUCAAGUCCUAUUGAAGAUGAUUGUGGGGGAAACAGUCAGUGGACAUAAUGUGAAGACAUAAAAGGGAAAUAAGGUGAAUAGGUAAGUUGGGGCCACUUCUGAAGGGCCUUGAAUUUCAUGCAAAAUUAUCUGGUAGGAGCUGGGAAGUCACUAAGUUGCUGAACAAAGGCCUGCCUUGAUCAGAGUUAAGCUUCAGUGAGAUGAUUUUUAAAGCUAGAGGGAAGGAUGGACUAGUUGAAUGAAGAGACACACGGCAAGGAGACCUGCUUGGGAGGGCUAUAAUUGCAGCAGUCUAGGCAAGUAAUGAAGGCCUAAUGUGGGUUAGUAGCAGUGGCAAUGGAGAAAGCUAACUGUAUACAGAACUAAAAGGACUUAGCAAUUGAUUAGAUAUGAGAGAUAAAGAGAAGCACAAUUCUGGGUAAUUAGGAGGAUACCAAUGCCACCAAAAGGGGCCAUUUGAAAGGCAAAAUGACUUAAUCUCAAAUUUGAGAGUUUGAAAUGCUUGGGAGAUAUCCAAAUGAAGGUGCCCAGCAAAAAAUAAAAAAAAAUUUGGUCUACGAUUUAGGAGAGAUGUCAGAGCUGAAGAUACCAUUUUGGGGGGAGAAACACAAGAAUUAUUUGAUGAGGAUGACCAAUUUUCUUUCUAGGUAACUCUACUUUUCUUCCUUAUAUUUGUCUUGAUUUUUUGAACUAUUAUCUCAUUAGUACUCUUCCAAACCUCUUGCAUCCUUGCUUUAGCUUUUCUACCUAGCAAAACCUACACCCUGAGAUAAAUGUUGCAAUCUGCUUUCUCCAUACCUAUAAUAGAUGGCUGGAAACUACUGGUGGUAUGGAGAUAUGGGGAAGAAGGGAACCCUGAAGGUCGAUACCACUACAAAUCCAUGAUCUGUAGCCUCAUCUGGAUACUUAAUGUCACUUGUCAAUUUUCUCUCACCCUGAAUUAGCUCCUUUUCUGGAUCCUCUCAAUGACUACUCCAUUAUCAUUACAGUUGACCCCUGAGCAAUGCAGGCAUUAGGGACACUGACCCCCUCCCCCAUGCAGUUGAAAAUCUGUAUAUAACUUUUGACUCCCCAAAACUUAACUAUAAAUAGCCUACUGUUGACCAGAAGCCUUAGAGACAACAUAAGCAGUCGAUUAACACAUAUUUUAUGUUAUAUGCUUAUAAUAAAUAUUACAUAAUGCAUAUGUAAGGAUAUGUAUUAGAUCCUUAUAAUAAAGUAAGCUAGAGGAAAAAAAAUGUUAAGCAAAUCAUAAAGAAGAGAAAAUAUAUUUACUAUUCAUUAAGUGGAAGUAGAUCAUCAUAAAGGUCUUUAUCCUUGUCUUCACAUUGAGUAGGCUGAGGAGGAGGAGAAAGAGAAGUGGGGUUGGUCUUGCUAUCUUAAGUGUGGCAGAGGUGGAAAAAUAUCCGCAUAGAAGUGGACUUGCACAGUUCAAACCCAUAAACCCAUGUUGUUCAAGGGUCAAUUGUGUUUUCACUCUUUAUACAACCGUAACUUCUGUACUCUUAGAAGAGAACCUCAUACCCUACUUCACUGAAAAAUGAAGUUGUUAGGCAUGAUGUAAAAAUCUCUCCCUUCUACCUAUAAAUGCAUCUGCAGCCACGCUGUUCUUUUCUUCCUGUCUCAGAAGAUGUAGUAUUUCUCUCCUGUUCACACUAUUCCAUCUGCCUGUGCCAUGAUCACAUUUCCUUGUGCCUCCUCUGAGACCUGCCCUGUUCCAUCAUGUGUAUCUACCUUGCCCGCAGCUUCAAAUUAUUUUUCUUUAUUGGCUCCUUCUCCAUACCGUAUGCUUAAGUCUGUUUCUAUCCAAAACAAAUGGUUACUGUUCAAUCUCUUUCCUACCCUUAUCAUCAGGUUCCUCAAAAGAGAAGCCAACGUUUACUGACUCCACUUCCUUAUCUUAACUUGAGAUGCAGGGGUUCAUAGACUCCUUCAAAUUAUAAAAAGGCUUUUAUUUUUUCAAAUGUGCAUUUUUUUCCCCCUGGAGAAGGAGUAUAGAUUUUACUCCUACUUUCAAUGUAUAACCUUCUAUCUCAAUGUAUAACCUUGGCUGCAAAGAAUUAGCUAGUGGCACUUAAUUUUAUAUGUUUGGGAACUUGAUUGAUUUUGGAGCAUGUAAAAGUUGUGUAAGUCUUAGUAUUUUAGAGCAACAUUUUUUUCUGCACUGAAACCAGAAUAAUACUAGUUAUAACCUGGCAAUUUUUUUAUUCUCAUGAAACAUUUUUGCAGUGCAGCAGAUUUGUCACUCAUUGCAAUGAAAAACCUGUAAGUGAUAAAAAACAUUAUAAUGUGGGGCCUCAAAACUCACUGAAAAGAAAAUUAGUAUAUAAAUAAAAUGGAAAUAGUCCUGGAGAUUCAAUUACUGUAAUGUCUUUUCACCACCACAAAAAUUGCAGGUGUUCACCAAGCAGUUUUGAGCAGUUUCUGAAGUGCUUUUGCUGCACUCGGAAUUUUCAAUGUUAAGCCUUGUGUAUUCUGAUAUGUUCCCAUCUUUAAGGCAGAUUAUACUUGAGCUGUACUAAAAUGACAAACAGCCAAAUCCCAAACUCAUUCAAAGCGAAUGGUGGGACAACACAAACAGCCAAUAGUGAGAAGCAGAAAAUUCCAGGCUCUUUUUCACCAUUCUGGCUUGUAAAAUCUGCUUUAAAACUUUGUAAAAAUAUUUAAACAAGGAAUAAAAUGGAAGCAUUUGAAUUUUGCUUCCAAAAACCACAGGACUUUAUUGGUUAACUGGAAUUAUCAGAAUGAGAAAAGCCAGAGGCAGGAAGAAUAUUUAAAAGCUGUUGAGUCUCUAUAAUAUACAAUCUAAAUGGAAGUGUUUAACAACAGAGGAGAAAACACACUCGGUGAUCAGGAUCUUGAAUUUAACGAGCACUCUUAAUACACCUGGGAAUAAUUUUUUUCUCCUUAUAACUUUCAUUUAAGUUUGCAAGGCUAUGUUUUAAAAUACAUUCAGUAAAACUAGUUAAAGGAAGAGUUUGCCUCUUGAGUAAAAAAUUUCCAUUAGGACCCAUUAAUAUUUGAUAAAUGCUUCCAAUUCAACGAACAAAUAUCAACAUGUAAAACAUUUAAAGAAUUCUCCAGAAUUGUAUCUGUGAUGCAUCAGAUAAAUAACUAAAAGACUUAGUGCCACCUCUAUCGACCUGGUGAUUAACUGCUCUAUAACCAAUUCUUCUAUUUUGUCAGUCCACAGAAAACAGUUACGUCCAUGGAAGAUAAAAGCAAUAUUUGGAAUAAAGUUUUGAAUCAAAGAAACAUUUUAAAAAGUUAAAGUGUUUACUAAUUUUAUAACUAAUGAAUUAAAAGAUAAUCUCACAUUUACAUCUAACUUUGUUUUUUGUUAAUUUUAUUAAAGAUUUUAUAAAAAUUGUAUUUGCAAAAAGGCAAUGCUGGAUUUGGUUAAAAGUAGCAAUUCUUUUAAGGCUAAAUAGUCCCAUCUUUAUCAGACUGUAUUCACAUGGGAAAAUAUGAAUCAUUAUACAGAUUACAUCUCUAUAAUGAAAGUCUUUUCUUCAGUCACAAUAGUAAGCAACUAUUUUUGUUUUUUCACGUGCAAUGCAAUUUUACCAGUGUUAUCAAAUCUAUGCCAUAAGUCCAUAAUAUCAACAAUAAUUUAUCCAAGUUUUUCCCAUCCAUUCAUUCUUUUGAUGUAUCAACAAAUAUUCACUGAAUGCUUACUAAGUGCUAGAGUAAGUGCUUGGCACUAGGAAGACAAAAGUAAUCCAGACAAUGUAUUUGACUGCAUGGAGAUUAUGUUUUGGUAAGAAAACUGCUUCAAAUUUACCUCACUUACUAUAGGUAUCUUUCCUGGUUUAGCACUGUUUACAUAUUGUCCAAACACAAUAUUGGAUAAAUGGAAAUUCUCUUAUUCUCAUGUAGAAACUUACGUGUGUGUGUGUGUGUUUAUGUGUGUGUAUAUAUAUAUAUAUGUGUGUGUGUGUGUAUAUAUAUAUUAUAUAUAUAUAUAUGCUUUUUGCUUUUGGUAAAUUACAUGUUUAUGUUCCUAAAACCGACUUGUGGGUCAUGGAAGGUGAGAAGGCAGGGGAAGGUAAAAGUCAUGAAUAUGAGAAAAUAAAGGUUAGUCACCAUAAUUAAACAUAGUGGCUGUACAACUCAAGCUCAGAAAUGCCUAAAUUAAUUCUCCUAGGGGAAUAAUUGACCUGUGGAGAAAGGGAGGUAAGAAUCAAUCAGAGCCAGAAUGAAACUAAUAAUACAGUAAUGAAUGUAACAGUAAUGAAAAUUAACAAUAUGGGUUUUUGGGAGCUGAAAUAUACAAGGUUUGGUUUCUGCACUUUUGAAAUUAAGAACAGGAGGCAAAAUGUUACCAAAUAACACUGACAUUUAAGGCAAGGAGAGAGAAAUAUGUUGCAGAUAUGUAGGAAAGUGGGUGAAAGGAGUUAGGAAAGAAAAAGAGGCAAAUACACCUUUGAUGUCAUUCCCAGUCUCUUCAUGGGCCACAUUCCACCAGUUACCCUCUAGUUCUUCCAGCCUUGCCUGUCUAACGUCUCCUUCCCCUCUGCUACCAAAAUGCUCAAACUUCCACUAUCCUGAGAAUCUUCUGACAAUUUAUCAUAUCAUAUUGGAUUAUAAACUCCCUCUCCUUUCUGCUUUUGCCAACCAUAAGAAAAGAGUAGUCGGCAUUUGCUCCGUCUAGUGCCCCAACACCAUAUGUAAUACUAUAGCAGCCUUUGCAAUCUGGUCUCCACUCCUAUCAUUCUGUAGAAACUGCUUUCUUGAAGGUUACCCACACCACCUAAUUGCCAGGACCACAGUCCUUAGUCCUUAUUCUCAUUUUCGUUUAGCAGACAGCAACUACUUCAUCUCUAGAAAGGUAGUUACUACAUUUUUCUUGACACUUAAACUUACUUUGGACUCUUUAACAGUGUUCUGGUUGAUUACAUACCUGUCUGAGGCACACUGCAGUGCAAAGUACAUAUUUUGAAGUCAGAUAGGGUCUGAGUCUGAAUCUUAGCUCUGACCUUGGGCAAAGUAUAUGUUUUUACAGAGCCUAUUUCUUCCGUUGGUGAGUGGAACACUACCAAAUUACCAGACUGAAUUGUGAGAAUCAAAUAAAAUAAUGUAGAGUCUAGCAGUGUUUGCAUUUAGUUGGUGCUCAAAGUGUCUGUUUCCCCUCCCUCCCCUUUUCUGCUUUCUCUGUAUUCUUCAGGCAUCCUUGGCCUUGAUCCAGCUGUCCCACAAAGUUCUGUCCCAUCUUGACUCUGCAUUUAACAUCCUCUGCCUCUUGCCAUUUCAUCCAUCCCAAUGCUGACACUAAAAUCUAGGUCUCUGAUUUUCAUCACCAUUCUUCAGCUCUAGUUCCACAUUUUCAACUCCUGUCAGGGAGCCAUCUAACUGAUAAUCUGCCUAAAUCUUAAAUUGAACAGGAAGUCUCAGCACUUGCAAAACAGGUAUAAAACCAAGUGCAUUGCCAGGCACGAUGGCUCAUGCCUAUAAUCCCAGCACUUUGGGAGGCCAAGGCGGGUGAAUCAUCUGAGGUCAGAAGUUCGGGACCAGCCUGGCCAACAUGGUAAAAUCCUGUCUCUACUAAAAAUACAAAAAUUAGACGGGCAUGGUGGCGCAUGCCUGUAAUCCCAACUACUUCGGAGGCUGAGGCCGGAGAAUUGCUUGAACCUGGGAGGCGGGGGUUGCGGUGAGCCGAGAUUGUGCCAUUGCACUCCAGCUUGGGCAACAAGAGCGUAACUCUGUCUCAUAAAUAAAUAAAUAAAUAUAAAAUAAAAACAAAUGCAUCAUCUCUUCCAAUCAGUUCUUCCUACCUACUUCCCAGAAGGCAUCAGUAUCUUCACAGCCACCUGUCUUAAUAUCUUAAAAUUAUGUUUGACUUUCCCCAGCUUUUCAAAAUCCUGUGGAUUCUAGAGCUGUAGUGUUUCUCAUAAUUUGUCUCUUCCUUUUCAUUUCAUUGCCUCAUUGCUCUUUGUUUAACUAGGCUGUUACUAGUAGAGGCUUUGAGAAAAUCAAUUCCAUAAAAGGUGGGGGCAAGAUACAGAAUGCAAAGGAUUAAUGAGAAGCACUGGAAUUACUGAGAGCAGACUUGCUCUUCAAGAAGUUUGGUAGGUGAGUGGAUGAUAGCCUGAGGUCAAGAACAAAGGAUAGGUCUAUUUGUUUUUUCUGUUUUGUUUUUUUUAAAUUUAAAGAUGAAUAGGCUGGGCAUGGUGGCUCACACCUGUAAUCCCAGCACUUUGGGAGGCCAAGGUUGGGGAUCACUUAAGUUUAGGAGUUCAAGACCAGCCUGGGCAACAAAGUGAGACCCCUAUCUCUACAAUUUUUUUUUUUAAAGCUGAGCAGGAUGGUGCAUGCCUAUGGUCCCAGCUGCACGGGAGGCUGAGGAAGGAGGAUCACUUGAACUCAGGAGAUUAAGGCUUUAGUGAGCUGCGACUGUGCCACUGCACUUUAGCCUGGGUGACAGAGCGAGACCCUGUCUCAAAAGGAAAAAAAAUAAAGAUGAGCCAGCCCCUAAAAAUUUUAAGUACAGUGAGACAAGCAUACAUUAAUCAAGUAAUCAUACAAUUAAAUAUAAAACUGAAAACAGGAUAAGUGCUAAGAAAGAAAAGUAUAUAGUGUUGUAAAGGCCUAUGUAUAGAGAUAUUUUAUCUAGUCAGGGAAGUCAGGGAAAGUUUCGUGAGGAGGAAACACUUCCUCAAGUUCUGAAAGAUGAAGAGGAAUUAACCAAGGGAAGAGGGGAGAGAACAUUCUGGACCUGUGUGCUACAGUGGUAAAGACUAUGAUGAGAAACAUAUGAAAGAAGGUCAGAGUGACCGGAAUGGGAGAACAAGGUAGGAUGGUGUGAGAUGAGGCUGGAGAAGAAAGAAGGGCUAGACCACAGGGGUAUGUAGGCCACAAUAAAAAGUUUUUCUUUAAGAGCAAUUGAAAGCCUUUGAAGGGCUGACGCAAGGUGGAAGAUAGUAUCAGAUCUGGCUCCAGAUCUCUGAAAGACUAACCUUCCUAAAACACAGAUUUUAUGAUGUUAUUCUACUCAAAACUUACAUCAAGGGAGGAUCACUUGAACCCAGGAGUUUGAGGUUACAGUGGGCUAUGAUCACGCCACUGCACCGCAGCCUAGGCAACAGGGCGAGAUCCUGUGUCUAAAACAAACAAACGAGCAAAUGAAACUCCACAAAAAACAAAAACAAAAAAUUUAAAUGACUUUCAUUACCCACUGAAUUAAGUUUGUCUGCCAUUAAAGAAUUUAUCUCAGGGGCAGGGUAUGGUGGCUCACGCCUGUAAUCCCAACACUUUGGGAGGCCAAGGCAGGCAGAUCACUUUAGGCCAAGAGUUCGAGACCAGCCUGGCCAACAUGGCAAAACCCCAUCUCUAUUAAAAAUACAAAAAUUAGCUGGGUGUGGUGGCGCAUGCCUAUAGUCUUCAGCACUCAUGAGGAUGAGGCACAAGAAUCACUUGAACCUGGGAAGCAGAGGUUGCAGUGAGCCAAGAUCAUGUCACUGCACUCAAGCCUGGGCAACAGAGACUGUGUCUGAAAACAAACAAAAAAAAUCCAUCAGUACAACAGACCCAACCUUUCCUUCUAGUUAUCAGCCUUAUCUUGCUUUUUUCACGCUAUAGGUACUUCCUAGAAUACUCUCAUCUGUUCUAUUUCUUGAAAUCCUUUCUGUCUUUUGAACCCAUCAACUUUGUAUGGCCCCCCAAACAGAUCUUUUACUUCUGUUAUAACCUCCCAAUUGAAAUCUUUUACUUCUAUGAAUCCCAACAAUAUUUUGUGCCUUUUUCUUUUUUGGCAUUUAACACAUUCAAUUUUUUAUUGUAGCUACUUGUGCACAUGAUUUCUCCCUUUCCUCAACCUCCAGUAGGCUGUAAAGUGUUUGAGGGAAAGGGAUUUGUUUAAUCUUUGUAUUCCCUACAGGGUCUAAGACACAGUCUUACUCAUAGCAUUGCUCAAUAAACAUCUGUUUGUGUGUGUGUGUGUGUGUGUGUGUGUAUGUAAUCCUUUUUUUCUUUUUUUUUUUUGAGACAGAGUCUUGCUCUGUCACCCAGGCUGGAGUGCAGUGACACAAUCUCAGCUCACUGCAACCUCUGCUUCCUGAGUUCAAGCAAUUCUCCUGUCUCAGCAUCCUGAGUAGCUGAGAUUACAGGCGGUCCCCGCCAUCAUGCCUGGCUAAUUUUUGUAUUUUUAGGAGAGA